GGGGGAGAGUGCUAAAGGUCGCCGAUGGGCUGUCAGAGGGUGUAAUAAUGUCACAUUUUAAUUUACACAGGGAACGGCGCACGAAUCAAAACCAAUAAAUAAUUCGGGCUGCACCAGCAGCUGCAGCCAACAGUAACUCCUACAGGUCAUGCCACUUCCCGGGGAGAAAUCACUAACUGUCACACUCCAAAGUCCACUAUGCUUGAGAAAACCCAUGUGCGUAGGUACAGAUGCAAAAUACAGCAUUUUCUCUCUGCAAGGGACCGUAUUUGGAGACUUGCAGCAUCAGCAAGAAUCGCUCCAGUUGUCUCAGUAUCACCCAGAUGUUCUGGGUAUGAAGAUUCUAAACCAAAAUAUGCCUUCUGUAUAUUUUGCUGCUCUGUGAAAGACUCAGCUCCAGGCUGACCCAGAUGCAUGGGAAAGUGUAUACAAAGCAGGGCGAGGAGCGUGGAAAGCAGGACUGUAUGUCCACAUUGAUGGCAGCUCUGAAAAGCCAACCUCCAUGCGGAGACAGGGGCUGCCGAGGGGGCCUGGCCUGCUGCCCACCUCUUAGCUGGCUCUGCAACUGCAGGAAGGAGGGGUCUGCACCCCACGGGGCCACUGCCUUGGAAGCUGUGAGGCUGUCAAGACUCUGGAUCUGCAACUUCUCCAUCUGGCUGGAAAGGAAGCAGGGGAAGAAGCUGCUGGGAUGGAAUGACGCCCUGAGGAUUUCACUCCCCUCUUCCUACCACACACCAGACCAGGCCACCAGGAUGCCUGGGUGCGGAAGACGUACUUAAAACCUGAGAGUCCAGAAUAGGAGAGGCGCUUUCAGAUCAGCCCGAGUCUUCCGCAGCGCGCAGGAGCUAGUCGUGCUGCAAAGAAUGAAAUUGGACUUGUCCAGGCGAGUUUCGGACAGUGCUGGGCUGGUAAGAAACGGAGUCACCAUUCAUCUAUUCAUUCCCAGAAAAGAAGGGAAAUACACCCUCCCCAACUCAAGAUGCCCAUUGAUUUAUCCCCUUUAGCUGGCAAGACACUCCAGCCCCAGUGUCUUCGGGCUCGUGAGCGUUUUUGUUGAGAGAAGAGCGUCCCUCCCAGGUUCCCACCGGGGCUUGGAAGUCAGGGGAGCCGGGAGGGGCGGCGGGGGCCGGGGCAAGAAGCGGGGCGGCUUCUAUUUGGCGCCAUAAAGGGCUGCACAAUGUCUGCUGGAAUUUCAACAGUUAAAGAGACCCCUCUGCACAAAGGGGCGCCCCGGCUGCAAUCGGGAAAUAAAUUUGAUUUUCUGAAUUCUGUGGCAGCUGGUGACAAAGGGCCAGGUAGCGCCGCGGCGGGGGGU
rnacentral:lncRNA from 1 species